rnacentral:rRNA from 1 species
UACGAGGGGGGCAAGCGUUGUUCGGAAUUAUUGGGCGUAAAGGGUGCGUAGGCGGUUUGGUAAGUCUUAUGUGAAAUCUACAGGCUCAACUUGUAGUCUGCAUGAGAAACUGCCGGGCUUGAGUAUGGGAGAGGUGAGUGGAAUUCCUGGUGUAGCGGUGAAAUGCGUAGAUAUCAGGAGGAACACCUGUGGCGAAAGCGGCUCACUGGACCAUAACUGACGCUGAUGCACGAAAGCUAGGGGGGCAAACAGG